GAUUUUGUACCUUGUUUAUCAUUGAAGCGAAACUCCGAUCAUUACAAGUGCAAAUGCAUCUUCUCAACAUCUAUAUAAAGCGGACAGUCCGGCUGAUAUCAAGGCACUUGAACUCCGGAACCACUAUUCCGUCAGCCCAGCCCUCACUGUGUUCAGGAUGAAAACCUCCCUGGUGCUGCUUCUCGCUGUGAUGGUCAUCUCCUCACAGAUGAUGACCGCCGAAAGUUGGUGGCCGCAUGGCAGGGCCUCGGAGCGUAACGCCGAGUCUCCCCGGGACGUCUCGGCCCUGAAGGCGCUGUUGGCCCGCCGACUGGCCGCAGAGCGCCGGGAGCUGGCCAGGGAGCUCCUGGACAAAAGGGAGGUGGAGAAGGUUAUGGCCGACAUGCAGAAAGAAUGACGAAAAUGACAACCAAGCCGCCGACCAUGCGACCAUCCUGAGAUGUAUGAAAACUACUUUUGAACACAUCUUGCCGAGUGACGCUCGCGAAAGAUAGUGGAUGCCACCUGUUGAUUUUGUUAAUUUUCUGUUUACUAAUUGUACAAGAUUUGUUGUUUAUGUGUUUUUUCUAUUGUUAUGACUUGUAGGACUCCAGAAAGAAUAGUUAUACUACAUUUUAUAUCAAUAAUGGAGAUCCCAAUUAAAAAAAAAAACGUCUGACCGUUUCCAAACCAAGUAGCUGUGGCGUUACCAUUUGUCUUAUCUAAUUACCUGGAUAUCUAAACUUCAUCAACAGGACUUUGUUCUGCUAAUACCGUUAGUUUAGCUUGUCUCAGUAACGUGCACUUUCCUGUCAAUAAGAUAGUCUAUAACGCACC